rnacentral:rRNA from 1 species
UAAUUGGGCGUUAAGUUGCAGGGUAUAGACCCGAAACCCGGUGAUCUAGCCAUGGGCAGGUUGAAGGUUGGGUAACACUAACUGGAGGACCGAACCGACUAAUGUUGAAAAAUUAGCGGAUGACCUGUGGCUGGGGGUGAAAGGCCAAUCAAACCGGGAGAUAGCUGGUUCUCCCCGAAAGCUAUUUAGGUAGCGCCUCGUGAAUUCAUCUCCGGGGGUAGAGCACUGUUUCGGCUAGGGGGCCAUCCCGGCUUACCAACCCGAUGCAAACUGCGAAUACCGGAGAAUGUUAUCACGGGAGACACACGGCGGGUGCUAACGUCCGUCGUGAAGAGGGAAACAACCCAGACCGCCAGCUAAGGUCCCAAAGUCAUGGUUAAGUGGGAAACGAUGUGGGAAGGCCCAGACAGCCAGGAUGUUGGCUUAGAAGCAGCCAUCAUUUAAAGAAAGCGUAAUAGCUCACUGGUCGAGUCGGCCUGCGCGGAAGAUGUAACGGGGCUAAACCAUGCACCGAAGCUGCGGCAGCGACGCUGAUGCGUUGUUGGGUAGGGGAGCGUUCUGUAAGCCUGCGAAGGUGGCCUGUGAGGGUUGCUGGAGGUAUCAGAAGUGCGAAUGCUGACAUAAGUAACGAUAAAGCGGGUGAAAAGCCCGCUCGCCGGAAGACCAAGGGUUCCUGUCCAACGUUAAUCGGGGCAGGGUGAGUCGACCCCUAAGGCGAGGCCGAAAGGCGUAGUCGAUGGGAAACGGGUUAAUAUUCCCGUACUUGGUGUUACUGCGAAGGGGGGACGGAGAAGGCUAUGUUGGCCGGGCGACGGUU